rnacentral:rRNA from 1 species
UACGAAGGGGGCUAGCGUUGCUCGGAAUUACUGGGCGUAAAGGGCGCGUAGGCGGAUGUCUAAGUUGGGGGUGAAAUCCCGGGGCUCAACCUCGGAACAGCCUUCAAUACUGGAUAUCUUGAGUUCGGGAGAGGUGAGUGGAAUGCCGAGUGUAGAGGUGAAAUUCGUAGAUAUUCGGCGGAACACCAGUGGCGAAGGCGACUCACUGGCCCGAUACUGACGCUGAGGUGCGAAAGCGUGGGGAGCAAACAGG